GGCAAAGUAGCCAAGCGGUCUAAGGCGCCAGGUUCAGGUCCACCUGAAUUGAGCAUCCAAAAGUGUAUCCUGGUCUCAGAAAUGGGGCGCGAGUUCGAAUCUCGUCUUUGUCA